CCAGCCAUGACAACGGGAACAAUUGACUUCAUGACGAGCUCCGGUCUCAUCACGCCCAUUGACGCUACUCCAACACCGCUCUUUGCAGUCCCAUAGGCAGCUCCCAUACAAGAGAAAACAAGGGCAGCAGCGGCGCCAAGGAAGCCGAAGAAAGGCGCUGUUUCAUCGCCACUAAAUACAGAGGCCAUUAGAAAUUGGGGAAUUCGAUCACAGAUUCGUUGGCGAGAGGGAAGGUGGGAAGGGUUUCGACUCCGAGACGCUCUUUCUUCCUCGCUGUCACACAAACACGUAC
rnacentral:misc_RNA from 1 species